CCUACGGGGAGCAGCAGUAGGGAAUUUUGCGCAAUGGGCGAAAGCCUGACGCAGCAACGCCGCGUGAUCGAGACGCCCUUCGGGGUGUAAAGCUCUGUCAAGGGGGACGACAAUUGACGGUACCCACAGAGGAAGCACCGGCUAACUCCGUGCCAGCAGCCGCGGUAAUACGGGGGGUGCAAGCGUUGUCCGGAAUCAUUGGGCGUAAAGAGUUCGUAGGCGGCACGUAAAGUCUGGUGUUAAAGGCAGAGGCUCAACUUCGGUACGGCACUGGAUACUUGCGAUCUAGAAUGCGGUAGAGGUAAAGGGAAUUCCUGGUGUAGGGGUGAACUGCAUAGAUAUCACGAGGAACCCCGAUUGCGAAGGCAGCCUGCCGGGGUGCGACUGCCGCUGAGGCUCGAAGGUGCGGGUAUCAAACAGGAUUAGAUACCCGAGUAGUC
rnacentral:rRNA from 1 species